GAUGAACGCUAGCUACAGGCUUAACACAUGCAAGGUCGAGGGGUAGCAGGGUAGCAAUACCGCUGACGACCGGCGCACGGGUGAGUAACACGUAUCCAACCUUCCCAUAACUCGGGGAUAGCCUUUCGAAAGAAAGAUUAAUACCCGAUAGUACUUAAGAAAGGCAUCUUUUUAAGUUAAAGAUUUAUUGGUUAUGGAUGGGGAUGCGUUCCAUUAGAUAGUUGGUGAGGUAACGGCUCACCAAGUCUUCGAUGGAUAGGGGUUCUGAGAGGAAGGUCCCCCACAUUGGUACUGAGACACGGACCAAACUCCUACGGGAGGCAGCAGUGAGGAAUAUUGGUCAAUGGGCGAGAGCCUGAACCAGCCAAGUAGCGUGAAGGAUGAAGGUCCUAUGGAUUGUAAACUUCUUUUAUAGUAGAAUAAAGUGAUCCACGUGUGGAUUUUUGUAUGUAUACUAUGAAUAAGGAUCGGCUAACUCCGUG
rnacentral:rRNA from 1 species